rnacentral:rRNA from 1 species
AGAGUUUGAUCCUGGCUCAGGAUGAACGCUAGCGGCAGGCUUAAUACAUGCAAGUCGUGGGGCAGCGCAGUGUAGCAAUACAUGGGCGGCGACCGGCAAACGGGUGCGGAACACGUACACAACCUUCCGUCAAGUGGGGGAUAGCCCAGAGAAAUUUGGAUUAAUACCCCGUAACACUAUGAUGUGGCAUCACAUUAUAG